rnacentral:rRNA from 1 species
GGAUAGUGGCGUAAGGGUUAGUAAUGGAUAGGUAACGUGCCCUCCGCUUCGGAAUAGCGUCGGUUGCUUCGGCAACCUUCCGAAAGGGGCAAUAAUACCGAAUAAUAUUGCUUGUCGAUAGACAAGUAAUCAAAGAUUUAUCGGCAGAGGAGCGGCCUAUCUCUUAUCAGCUUGUUGGUGAGGUAAUGGCUCACCAAGGCUAUGACGGGUAGCGGGACUGAGAGGUUGACCCGCAACAUCGGGACUGAGACGCUGCCCGGACCUCCACGGAGGGCUGCAGUAACGAAUAUUGCGCAAUGGGCCAAAGCCUGACGCAGCGACGCCGCGUGCGGGAAGAAGUCCCUCGGGAUGUAAACCGCUGUCAGGGAUUAGAAAGUUCGCUUCGGCGGAUUGAUCAGUCCCAAAGGAAGUCACGGCUAACUUCGUGCCAGCAGCCGCGGUAAGACGAAGGUGGCAAGCGUUGUUCGGUAUUACUGGGCUUAAAGAGUGUGUAGGCGGAAAGGUAAGCGUCCUGUGAAAGCCCCCGGCUUAACCGGGGAAUGGCGAGACGAACUGUCUUUCUUGAGCCAAGUAGGGGUGCACGGAACUGUUGGUGGAGCGGUGGAAUGCGUAGAUAUCAACAGGAACGCCGGUGGAGAAAUCGGUGCACUGGGCUUGUGCUGACGCUGAGACACGAAAGCGUGGGGAGCGAACGGGAUUAGAUACCCCGG